rnacentral:miRNA from 4 species
UCGGCAACAAGAAACUGCCUGAG